rnacentral:misc_RNA from 1 species
GAUGAAGAACGUAGCGAAAUGCGAUAAGUAGUGUGAAUUGCAGAAUUCAGUGAAUCAUCGAAUCUUUGAACGCACAUUGCGCCCCUCGGUAUUCCGUGGGGCAUGCCUGUUCGAGCGUCAUCUACACCCUCAAGCCCUGCUUGGUGUUGGGUGCCUGUCCCGCCCCGCGCGGCGACUCACCCCAAAUGCAUUGGCGGCGGCGCCUUGCCCUUCCCGCGCAGCACAUUGCGCUUCUCGAGGCGGCGGGACCGCGUCCACGAAGCCGACAACCCGUCUUUGACCUCGGAUCAGGUAGGGAUACCCGCUGAACUUAAGCAUAUCAAUAAGCGGAGGA